UUUACUUUUCUCUCUGUCGAAAACAAAUCUAAAUCUGUUAGUUUUUGCUUAUUAGAGACUGUUUAAAUUAUUAUUAAGGGAAUGUGCUCCCUAGAAAGUGCAUAAUUUCCGGACGGUCUGCUCAGUUUCAUUUCCUUCGCUUCGCUUAUCGCAUCAGGAGCUUGUGCUGCAGCUUGUUGCGGUUGCCACUCGGAGAAUGUCAUUAAGAGGAAGCUCAUCUCCUGCUGCACACGCAACUCCCUCCACAUGCCACAUAUCUCGGUGCCUCUGUGUGUGCGCAGAUAAGAGAUAACAAAGUAGCCGAGGAACACCUGGCCGGGUAAUUACCUCGACCGCCGCCCAAGGACUCCCCACUCCAAGCGACUCCCCAUUUCGGCCAAGUAAUCCUUUGUAAGCGGGGGGACAGGAGGCUAUAAAUUGAGGAAAGCAUGUGUCCAGCGGCAAAAAUGGACCUCGUUGCACGUGACAUUUAUAUGAUAGUGUAAACACAUCAUUUGCGCUAUUAUACAACACACUCGCAGUGUCGCUGGCUAAAAGUU